GUUGGUGAACCAGCGGAGGGAUCAUUACCGAGUUUUCAACUCCCAAACCCCUGUGAACAUACCUAUCGUUGCUUCGGCGGACACGCCCCGGCGCCCCCGGGCCCGGACCAAGGCGCCCGCCGGAGGUAUCUAACUCUUGAACUUUUAUGGCCUCUCUGAGUCUUUGUACUUAAUAAGUCAAAACUUUCAACAACGGAUCUCUUGGUUCUG
rnacentral:misc_RNA from 1 species